rnacentral:lncRNA from 11 species
ACCUCGGUAAAGCAGUAGUUCUCCACGCAGAAAUAAGGACAAAGGAUCUGACUAAUAGAAGGAAUUAUUGCGUCUGUCAUUCAGCUCCGGAGAAGGAUCUUGAAGGAAUAUGGACAGAACCUCCAGAACAUCCUACUGCAUUGCUUCAACAUUAUAUAGAGGUGAGCUUGGGUUAUCUAAAGCUAUGUCACUGGACUGUAAGAUCUGGCAGAUUCUACCAAGCUGAUGAGGCUUCUACUAUAGACGUGAAGUAAGACUGCAUGUCCACAGUUGAAAGACGGAAAGACUUGUCAUCAGAAGCUUGCCAUCCUUUGUCAAUUUAGCCAUGAUAGCUAGGAACACAAUGAUAAUGUGAAAUAUCAAAGUUGCAAUAUACAUCAGUGGAGGGAUCACCAUACCAAUGAAAGUAUGUGUCUUUAAGAUAGUCAAGAGUUGGGGUCCCUAAACAAAGAGGAGGUUCGAUGUAUUGUUGAAGGCUUUCACAGCUGGAAUCACUGGGUGGCCGUGUUCUCACAGCAUUUUCUCCUGAUGUUUCACCUGCAUCUGUGGCUGGCAUCUUUAGAGGAUCUGAUGGUGAUAAAGCAAGUGGAGUAUAUAUGCCUGUGAAAUGUCCAGGGUGGGAGGAAAGAACCAUUAUAUGUUGAACUUGGCAAGCUUGAUUUGCACGUGUUGGGUAGGAUCCGCCCAUUAGCAUGUGAGUAACCAUGAAGAUAGCAUAGUCAAUCAGUGAGGGCAUCUGCAUUGAAGUAGCCUGGCC